UACGUAGGGGGCUAGCGUUAUCCGGAAUUACUGGGCGUAAAGGGUGCGUUGGUGGUUUCUUAAGUCAGAGGUUAAAGGCUACGGCUCAACCGUAGUAAGCCUUUGAAACUGGGAAACUUGAGUGCAGGAGAGGAGAGUGGAAUUCCUAGUGUAGCGGUGAAAUGCGUAGAUAUUAGGAGGAACACCAGUUGCGAAGGCGGCUCUCUGGACUGUAACUGACACUGAGGCACGAAAGCGUGGGGAGCAAACAGG
rnacentral:rRNA from 1 species